rnacentral:rRNA from 1 species
ACGGCUCAGUAACACGUGGAUAACCUAACCUCGGGUCGGGGAUAACCCCGGGAAACUGGGAGUAAUACCCGAUUCGUUACCUACGCUGGAAUGCUUGGUAGCCUAAAGCUCCGGCGCCCGAGGAUGGGUCUGCGGCGGAUUAGGUUGUCGCCGGUGUAACGUACCGACGAGCCGAUAAUCCGUACGGGUUGUGAGAGCAAGAGCCCGGAGAUGGAUUCUGAGACACGAAUCCAGGCCCUACGGGGCGCAGCAGGCGCGGAAACUUUACAAUGCAGGAAACUGCGAUAAGGGAACUCUGAGUGUUUGGGACAUUCUCAAACUGUUCGGGUACCUAAAUAGUAUCUGAUAGUAAGGGCCGGGCAAGACCGGUGCCAGCCGCCGCGGUAACACCGGCGGCCCGAGUGGUAACCGAUAUUAUUGAGCUUAAAGGGCCCGUAGCCGGCUUGGCAAGUCCCUUGGGAAAUCUAACGGCUUAACCGUUAGGCGUCCAGGGGAUACUACCAGGCUUGGGACCGGGAGAGGUAGGAGGUACUCCGGGGGUAGGGGUGAAAUCCUGUAAUCCUCGGGGGACCACCGGUGGCGAAGGCGUCCUACCAGAACGGCUCCGACGGUGAGGGACGAAAGCUAGGGGCACGAACCGGAUUAGAUACCCGGGUAGUCCUAGCCGUAAACGAUGCGGGCUAGGUGUCACAUUAGCCAUGAGCUACUGUGGUGCCGCAGGGAAACCGUGAAGCACGCCGCUUGGGAAGUACGUCCGCAAGGAUGAAACUUAAAGGAAUUGGCGGGGGA